rnacentral:rRNA from 1 species
AUACGUAGGGUGCGAGCGUUGUCCGGAAUUACUGGGCGUAAAGAGCUCGUAGGUGGUUUGUCGCGUCGUCUAUGAAAUUCCGGGGCUUAACUCCGGGCGUGCAGGCGAUACGGGCAUAACUUGGGUACUGUAGGGGAGACUGGAAUUCCUGGUGUAGCGGUGAAAUGCGCAGAUAUCAGGAGGAACACCGGUGGCGAAGGCGGGUCUCUGGGCAGUAACUGACGCUGAGGAGCGAAAGCAUGGGUAGCGAACAGGAUUAGAUACCCUGGUAGUCCAUGCCGUAAACGGUGGGCGCUAGGUGUAGGGGUCUUCCACGACUUCUGUGCCGUAGCUAACGCAUUAAGCGCCCCGCCUGGGGAGUACGGCCGCAAGGCUAAAACUCAAAGGAAUUGACGGGG